rnacentral:rRNA from 1 species
UAGGGAAUCUUCGGCAAUGGGGGGAACCCUGACCGAGCAACGCCGCGUGAGUGAAGAAGGUUUUCGGAUCGUAAAGCUCUGUUGUUAAGGAAGAACGAGUGUGAGAAUGGAAAGUUCAUGCUGUGACGGUACUUAACCAGAAAGGGACGGCUAACUACGUGCCAGCAGCCGCGGUAAUACGUAGGUCCCGAGCGUUGUCCGGAUUUAUUGGGCGUAAAGCGAGCGCAGGCGGUUAGAAAAGUCUGAAGUGAAAGGCAGUGGCUCAACCAUUGUAGGCUUUGGAAACUGUUUAACUGGAGUGCAGAGGGGGAGAGUGGAAUUCCUUGUGUAGCGGUGAAAUGCGUAGAUAUAUGGAGGAACCCCGGUGGCGAAAGCGGCUCUCUGGUCUGUAACUGACGCUGAGGCUCGAAAGCGUGGGGAGCGAACAGG